rnacentral:rRNA from 1 species
UGCGUAGGCGGCUUUCUAAGUCGGAUGUGAAAACUCUGGGCUCAACCCAGAGCCUGCAUCCGAAACUGGAGAGCUAGGGUUCUGGAGGGGAAAGCGGAAUUCCUGGUGUAGCGGUGAAAUGCGUAGAUAUCAGGAGGAACACCGGUGGCGAAGGCGGCUUUCUGGACAGAUACCGACGCUGAGGCACGAAAGCUAGGGGAGCAAACAGGAUUAGAUACCCUGGUAGUCCUAGCCCUAAACGAUGGAUACUUGCUGUGGGGGGGAUUGAAGCCCCUUGUGGCGAAGCUAACGCAUUAAGUAUCCCGCCUGGGGAGUACGGUCGCAAGGCUGAA